rnacentral:lncRNA from 1 species
CUCUCAGGCUGGCCACAUGCCCACCCCUUUCCCAAAACAAACGAAUCAGAUACUGUACAGAUGUCUAGAAACAUCUUUUAUUUGGGUAACAGGUCCCAAAACAGGUCAGUUAAUAAAAUAGAUUCUAAAGAAUAUGUCCCUAUGCACAGCCCUCCCUCCCCAAAAAUAACGCUGGGGGUAGGCAUUGCCCUUCCCCCUUGGGCUCCUCGGGUGUAUUUAAAAAAAUGUUUUGGCAGCUCAGUGUUUAUCAUCUGGGCAUGGGACACCAUGUCCAUGUCCCCAUAUUCCUAGGGUACAGCAGCAGUAGAUGGCUGCAACAACCUUCCUCCUACCCCAGCCCAGAAAAUAUUUCUGCCCCACCCCAGGAUCCGGGACCAAAAUAAAGAGCAAGCAGGCCCCCUUCACUGAGGUGCUGGGUAGGGCUCAGUGCCACAUUACUGUGCUUUGAGAAAGAGGAAGGGGAUUUGUUUGGCACUUUAAAAAUAGAGGAGUAAGCAGGACUGGAGAGCCUGUCCUUAUGUAUAGUGUCCAACCUCUGAUUCUAGCAGUCAAGUGUCUUCCCCAAUCCUAAUGUCCCCUGAUAUGUCUCUAGCGACUUGACCAUCUCUUGUUCCUUGGGACUGGGGCCAGCCUCUUGUCUGCCCACUUCCCUCUCAUUAGUCAGAUAGCCCCAAAGGCUCUAUCUUUAGCUCCCAGAGAACUUUUUGGUCCUCAGUAUUUCCCUUCCCCUUUCCUUCCUAUUCCCCACAACUGGGGGAGGGAAGGGAGAACAGGGGCACCUGAUCAUCAAUCUCCCCUGCCCCUCUCUUGAAGCCCCCUAGAUUUGGAUGAAGAGCAGGCCAGUGAGCAGGGCAAAGCCUGCUAGGAGCAGAAUGACCUUGAGGAUCCUUUGCUCAGAACUGGCCAGCUCCUGGGGCAGGAUUUCCAGAAAGGUGAUAUAGAGAAAGGUGCCAGCUGCCAUGCCCUCUAGCACAGACUGGGCCAGCUGGUGCAGAGGUCCUGCCGACUCUGCCAGAGCUGCACCCAGCCCGAUGCCUAGAGGUGUCAUGCAUGAGAAGAGGAUCCCACAGCCAGCCACCACCUGUGCCCUAAGGCACGCAAGGCUGAGGGGGUUGCUGGGGCUCCACUCGCCUGUGGGACCCCU